rnacentral:rRNA from 1 species
GACAGAGGUGCCGAGCGUUAGGCGGAAUCACUGGGCUUAAAGCGUGUGUAGGCGGACUUCUAAGUGCCUUGUGAAAUCCCACGGCUCACCCGUGGAACUGCUGGGCAUACUGGGAGUCUUGAGCCACUUAGGGGCAACUGGAACAAACGGUGGAGCGGUGAAAUGCGUUGAUAUCAGGAGGAACACCGGCGGCGAAGGCGGUGGUCUGGUCGGUUUCUGACGCUGAGGAGCGAAAGCUAGGGGAGCAAACGGG